CCUACGGGUGGCAGCAGUGGGGAAUAUUGCACAAUGGGGGAAACCCUGAUGCAGCGACGCCGCGUGAGUGAAGAAGUAUUUCGGUAUGUAAAGCUCUAUCAGCAGGGAAGAAAAUGACGGUACCUGACUAAGAAGCCCCGGCUAACUACGUGCCAGCAGCCGCGGUAAUACGUAGGGGGCAAGCGUUAUCCGGAUUUACUGGGUGUAAAGGGAGAGUAGACGGCAGAACAAGUCUGGAGUGAAAUGCCGGGGCUGAACCACGGCACUGCUUUGGAAACUGUGCAGCUAGAGUGCAGGAGAGGUAAGUGGAAUUCCUAGUGUAGCGGUGAAAUGCGUAGAUAUUAGGAGGAACACCAGUGGCGCAGGCGGCUUACUGGACUGUAACUGACGUUGAGGCUCGAAAGCGUGGGGAGCAAACAGGAUUAGAUACCCCAGUAGUC
rnacentral:rRNA from 1 species